AGACCCGAAACCCGGUGAUCUAGCCAUGGGCAGGUUGAAGGUUGGGUAACACUAACUGGAGGACCGAACCGACUAAUGUUGAAAAAUUAGCGGAUGACCUGUGGCUGGGGGUGAAAGGCCAAUCAAACCGGGAGAUAGCUGGUUCUCCCCGAAAGCUAUUUAGGUAGCGCCUCGUGAAUUCAUCUCCGGGGGUAGAGCACUGUUUCGGCUAGGGGGCCAUCCCGGCUUACCAACCCGAUGCAAACUGCGAAUACCGGAGAAUGUUAUCACGGGAGACACACGGCGGGUGCUAACGUCCGUCGUGAAGAGGGAAACAACCCAGACCGCCAGCUAAGGUCCCAAAGUCAUGGUUAAGUGGGAAACGAUGUGGGAAGGCCCAGACAGCCAGGAUGUUGGCUUAGAAGCAGCCAUCAUUUAAAGAAAGCGUAAUAGCUCACUGGUCGAGUCGGCCUGCGCGGAAGAUGUAACGGGGCUAAACCAUGCACCGAAGCUGCGGCAGCGACACUGUGUGUUGUUGGGUAGGGGAGCGUUCUGUAAGCCUGUGAAGGUGUGUCGUGAGGCAUGCUGGAGGUAUCAGAAGUGCGAAUGCUGACAUAAGUAACGAUAAAGCGGGUGAAAAGCCCGCUCGCCGGAAGACCAAGGGUUCCUGUCCAACGUUAAUCGGGGCAGGGU
rnacentral:rRNA from 1 species